AAAAGUUAGUUAAAUUGAAAGAUACUUGCAUGAAAAAAAUCCAUAAAAUUUAGAAUCGUGAAAAAGAGAGGAAGGAUCUAUGGAAUAUUACAUAAGGCGACAAAACGUGAAUAUUUAACUGAAAUUCUUCAAAGUUAUACUUCAGUUAUAUACUUUUGCUGCAAAAUAUGACAUAAAAUUUAUCAAAGAAAAUGUUUUGCUGAUCUCUGAAUCAAUACUAUAAUAAAAUAAUUGCACUGUAAUUUUCCUACCCCAUACAGCACAUAUCUUUCAGAAAGCUUUCUGAAAGAUAUCGGAAAAAUAUCUUCUGUCAGAUAUCUUUCAGAAACCUUUCUGAAAGAUGUUGUGCUAUAUGGGACAUUAUCGAAAUCUAGCAAAAAUAGAUUAGUCGAGAUUCUCCUGGGCCUAUUCUUAUUUUUUUUCCCCCCAGUUCUAUUUGGCUCGUGGUGCACCGCUACUUCCUCUUGCCAUUUAUCUUGUAAAUUAUUAUUUUUAGCAACUGCACAGGCUUACAUUGUAUACAAAUGAGUAAUAUACCGACUAUACCGAUUGAAUUAGAACAAUGUAAUGGCAAAAUUAUGAGAUCUUUCUACGUAUCUCAUUUAUGAGAUUUUUUUAUCGAUCUGUAGCAUCGAUGCAUUCCUGUGUAUAGGUUGCAUUUUGUACGUCUUUAUAAAUAUUUGAUCAAUUUAAGAGGGAAAUAACAUUGUCGCCUUUGUAUUGCUUGUACGUACGAUUUGAAAGCUAAAUAGAAUUAUUGUUAAAUAUAUUUCCCUGGAUUUCUUUCUACCCGGCAAAGUUGCCAAUUCCAACACACUGGCCACCAUCGCGCCACUGUGCUAACGGGUCCUAGCUAAUGGUCCUUGGUCAUAAGAUUUGCUGUGGUGAGGAUAGUUUUUUGCGAACCAGCUGUUUUUGCAAACCAGUUUUGGAUAGCUUUGGUUUCCGGUUUUCGGGAGUGUUUUUCUAAUAAAGUUUUUCCAUUUCUUGAAAAUGUAUCGUUACUUUCUGUGAGAUUCAGGAAUGCCGUGUGCGUGAUACGCAAAAAUGCGUCUCGGGGUUAACAGAAUUACGUUAAUAACGAGAAAAAGACAAAUUCGAGAAAUUCCCAAUUGCUAAUGCUAAAUGCGCAAACGACUUUAACUCGGAAUUUAAGUAGCUGAAUAAUAUAUUUUAUACCUAAAUAUGAUACAUAUAUAUGUCACAUUGAAAAUAAAGCAAAUUAAACUAAAUUUAUAAACACGCGAAAUAUAGUAAAAUAAAUAAUGUAACCACACUUUUCGAAUUAAGGAUUAAAGUGGCCGGUAAUUGUUUUAGCUUUUAAAUCUCGGCAUUAACGUAUACGUUGUUAUAUAUGCAUUGAUGCGUAUAUACAGCAAGAGAUCCUAAGACUAUAAGUUUUUUUGCUCAUUAUAAAGCUUCUCAACCAGGUAGCUGCUAGCUGAUUGUGAUCUCCUUAGGAAAUAUUUAAUAUUUUCUAUUUGCGCAUUCUUAAAUUUAACGUAAUAAACGCAUUUAGCGUAAAAACGGCGUGUUUUCAAUGUCCAAGAUGGCGAUUAACCACGGCCGAAGCGAUGCGACGCGUGCGUUUAGCAAGGAGGAAAGAACUAAUAAAUUAGAAGGCAUUUAGCCAAAAUAAAAGUCUCUAAGGCGUUUCAUUACAUUUAAGUUGGCGGUAUCGUCCCUAUUUUUGCGUGUACGAGGACGUAUAUGCUAUCGAUUCCGUUGCAGUUAAAAUUGCGACGAUGAAAGUCAUGUAGUGGCGGUGUUGUUGCCGUUUAAUAAAUUAUGGAAAAAAAUAUCGCGUGUAGUAAGGGUACGAGUUUGUAACGAACGCGUUGCUCCAGUGAUCCCCGCGAUAGAACAAAGGAGAAAUGAGCUUUCGCAGAGAGCUGCAUGGAGCUUUACAUUACGCCGUAGCAGCAGUUAACGCAACACAACAAAAAAUACAGUUUUCUACAUCGCUGCAACUUCAGAACAAGAAACUGACCUGAAGUUUUUUCAUUUUUAAGAUAUUCCAGCCAAUUACGCGGCAGAGAGUAGCGGUUCUAUCCGGGAAGGAAGGAAGGAAGGAAGACGAGCGUGAGGCGCGCGCGGUUGAGAGACGGCAACCGACCGAGCCAACGUGGUGAGAAGCGAAAAAGCUAGAACUACGUUGUAACGCUACAGUCAUUCAAAUCGGUCUAAGUGUACCACACGCUUUAAUUUAUUAUUAUAAUUUAUUUCAAAAAAUUUAAGAAUAGAAUAAUAUUAGAGUUACAUUUGAAAUUAAAAUUGCAAUUAAGAUGAAAAUCACAUUUUAACUGAAAUUAGAUAUAAAAUUAAGAUUUGAAAUAAAAGUAAAAUUAAAAUUUAAAAUAAUUUAAAUUAAAUUUUACUUAUUAUCAGAAUUUAAUUUUUUUAGCAACAAUAGGACCUGACACUAAUUAAGUGUGACCACAUGAUUUUAACCUAUCAAUGUAUUUUGAUUUCUAAUCUAUAUCAGAUCGUAAAAGAUAGCAAUUUGUCGGUUUGCUUCAUUGCCGAAGGCGUGUUUGAUUUCAUGAUAUCUACAAUGUGUAUUGGAGAAAUGUUAUUUUAUCAUGAGAAGAUGUAACUACAUACACACACAUACACAGAAUAUAUACAAUAUAUUUAUAAGUACAAAUAUACAUAGUGUCUACAAUAUAAAGUCUAUCCUUAUUCUUAUACUUUGCAAACAGUUUAAAAUUAAAACCACGAAAUACAUGUUCGAUCAUUUUAAGAGACUAUACUUUAUCGUCUAAUUCGUCCCUAUUAAAAAAGUAGCCUCUCGCAAUAAUCAAAUACGUAUUUCGCGAUUUUUUAUAAUUUUGAAUCAUUUUUGAAGUAUAUGUAUAGGUAGGGAUAGAUUUUGUAGACACUAUGUAUAUUUGUAUUUAUAAUAUAUUAUAUAUUAUAUAUUAUACAUUAUAUAUACAAUAUAUUGUAUAUUAGGUGUACAAAUAAGUUUCCGCCGUUUUUUAUAAAAAAUUGGGCAUUUAUGAUUUCAACCGAUAUGAAAUUGCUUGUUGAGUCACCCCUAAUGUAAGUGCAAGUUCUUCUUGCGUUUAGCACGAAUCUUGAUCCAAUAAUGUUUCCAAUUCUGCGUCUUCGUACACUUUCGGCCUUCCCUCCUUACAUUCUUUGUCUUUGAUGUCUCAAAUUUACGUUCUUAAACUUUUGAAACCACUCACGAUAACUUCUCUCACUUAAGGCAGCUUCACCAUAUGCUUCUACAAGCAAUCGAUGCGCCUCAGCUGCAGAUUUCUUCAAAUUGAAGAAGUAAAUCAAAAGUUCCCGCAAAUAACGCUUAUUAUUCGGCUCAAAACUCGACAUUUUCGCAUACAAAAAAAUAUAUUAACUGAUAAAAAUUUACUAGUAUUUCAAGGUUGUUGACAGAUGUCCAACCUUACGAUAAUGCGUUUUACAUUUGACAAUUUUAACCAUAACUUACUGGUGACGCCAACUUUUGUCAAAAGGCGGAAACUUAUUUGUACACCUAUGCAAUUGCACAUAAGAUGAUCAAUGAUGUAAUGCAGCAUAAAAACUAUAUAUUUAGUCCUCGUAUUAAAAAUAAUACGAGGACGAAUACGAACUAAAAACAAUCAGAACAGGAUAUAUAACACUUAAUUUAAUUUCUACGAAAUUUAUGAUAUAUCUUGUGUGAUAAUAUAAUUCGAUAUGAUUUUAUAGAGGUAGUAAAAUAAAAUCUGCAACGUUUCAAUUCGUUUAAAUCGUAAUUGUUAUAUUAUAUAUAUAUUACUGUAGAUUUAGAUACUAUUUGUUGUAUGUAAAAUAUUGUCUUUUUCAGAGGCAUACAUGUAAUAAAAUUUAAUCGACAUCUAUAUGACUGCAUUCUAGAGAGAAUAUACAUACAUCUACAGAAAUCGUGGAUUGUAACUUUGUGAAACGCAUGCAUGCGGGUACGGGCAUCAUGUGGAGAAUUGCAGACACUCCUACUCUUACAUAAACCAAAUACACGUAAGCCAGAUUAGAGAAUCAUAACAUACCUCUAUUCUUCUUAGAGCUUUGAUUCGUCUAAAGUGAAAUGUUGACUAAUCUGGCUGGAGAACGACUUCAUUUAUAUGAAUUCGUGUGUAUCGAAGCAUUUAAAUAGUUUUUACAUCUGUCUUUAAUAGGCAAUUGUAAAAUAUGGAAAUAAUGAUAUUUUUUUACUUUAAUGCAACUCUUCAUCAUUCGCUAUUUCAAUUGCGUAUUGCUCUUUUGAUUCAAAAUUUUGUUUAAAAUGAUCAAUAAAUCUUGUUUUUCUUAUACUUUUAUGAAAAUAAGUUAAAUAAUUAAAAAGAUAUACGAUGACGAAAAGAAAAUAAGAGAAAGUAGUCGGUAUAAGUAAAUACUGAACACGUGCGAGCGAAAA